rnacentral:lncRNA from 1 species
AUGAUCUUGGGGCCAGAUUCUCCAUGCUUCUAUAUACUACAUCUACCUUAGAACUCAAAAGAUCUCUCACUGAACCUGAAUAUUCCUUAGAAUUAAUCAAAUUGUAGCAGCCUUCUUC